GCGCAUCGCAGAGCAUCGGUUACAUCGACUGGUAAUCGAGAGGCCGCGGGUUCGAGUCCCGUCCUUGCCCGA
rnacentral:tRNA from 1 species